UCACAACCUGAGGAAAACAUCACCCAAGCCGCUAAGUCUUUGCAGUCUGUUAACUCUCAACGACAGUGUGCACUUACAGAUUACGUACCCCAGCAAGUUCACAAUAACAAAUAUAACCUCCAGAGGAAUAAAAGUUUGGGUGAAAUUAAACUGAACAACUAUGGCAGCAUCAGCGAAUCAUCUGUCCACAGGAAAUUGUCCAAACCUGAAAGUAAAUCGACCAUUGGUUUGCCCAAACCUAACAUCAGUAAUACCAAAGAAUCAUCCCGCCUUAUUUCAAAUACAGGGCUGUAUUCUGCUGCACCUAAAGUGUCAAACAAUGUAUUCUCUCAAGCAGACCGGUUGAACCUCAAAUGUGCCUCGAAAUCUUCAGUGCCAUUACUACCUUCAGAUCCAAGUAAGUUAAAUUAUAAUCUAAGCGGAGCAGAUAGCUCUGAUAAGAUUGGCCAUAUUGCUUUAAACCCAAGCAUAGACCCAAAACCUGUCACUAUUAAUUAUUCACAGAACUUUAUUCCAAAACAGAAUGUCACUGCAGUCCCAAAAACUAACAGUUGUAAUGAGCUUCUGGACCCCUCUAGUCUUCCCAGCUCAGUCCAUGCAGCCCUACGAGCACCGUUACCGAAAGGACCCCCUCCAAAAAAGCCCCCCCGGACUUUCGCACACAAUUUAGCUCAAAGCCAGUUCUUACCAAGUAAAAUUCCUCCUGUGUUGCCAAACCAGUCAGAUCAUUCUAAGUUUAUACCACCCAUGAAUCAGAAUCUCGCCUCUUCACAAACUUAUGAUAAAUUUGCGAAUCUCCGCCCUGUGCGUUCGAAAACAGAAUCUCAAAUAAUGCUGAAAAAGCUGGAAAAUUUUCUUCAUAGUCAGCAUGACAUGACAAGCUUAAAGCCAAAGCGAUCAAGAGAAGAAGCUGACCUGGAUGUUGGGAGAAAAUCACUUCAUACCUUGCGGAAAGGUCCUUUGCCUGAAGUGCCAUCUACUAGUCAAGCCUCUGUCAAGCCUACCAGCAACACGUUGAAUCACAAUCUUUGUUUACAGUCUCUGAACUGUGCGUCCUGUACUAUGAGUCCCUACUCUACGAAUAUAUAUGAAAAAGUGCCUUCAUCUCAGUCUCAAUUUUUUAUCGAUUUUAAAUCGAACCCCAAUGAUGGAAUCAAGUCAGUUGAGGAGUCAGCCAAAACCACACACUAA
rnacentral:lncRNA from 1 species